CAAUGCUUGAGCACACUUGUGGAAAACACACACAGCCCCAGUUUGUGAAGCAGCUCCUGAAACAACACGACGCAGCGACAGGUGGGAAUUUCAUCAAGAGGUUUUCAUUUGUCCAAGGUUGUCAAUAUUGCAGAGAAAGGUGUUAAAUAUCAGAUGAUGACUCGGUGACCUGAGUUUGAUAUCUCAUGAAAAUAUUUUGUCUCAUCGUUAACAUGCUCCCAGGAGCCAAUCAAAGGGGCUCUACUCCACCAGGCAGGCCACAGCGAGUCGUUUCUCGAUGGUAAGGUUCGAUGGGACCAACAAGAAGAGUGAUUCUAAAUCACACUCCUCUGGACAGAUUAUCAGGGAUAAUCUCAAUUUUAACAACCAAACUGAAGACUGAAAACUGCUCAGAUGCCUUCCUGAGAACACACCAUCAACUCCACAGAGGCUGUAGGACCCCAGUAACUCCCCAGUCUCCACAAAAACUUUAAGGGCUUGAAAACUUCCAAAUAGUCUUGAACCACAGAUUUUUCUUAAGAGCCACUUAAGGAUCCAGAAGUCAUCAGAACCUCAUUAGAGAUCAAUAAUGAAGUUUCUCGGGUGUGAGCAGACACGUCUUUAACGUAAAAUACUUCAAAGACAACCACAUACUCUUCAGCAGCUGAAAACCUAUAUCAGGCAAGACUGGCACCAAAUUACAACAUCAAAACCCAUGAAACUCAUGACCUCGAUGCCCAGAUGUCUUCAAAUUCUUCUGAAAAGAAUAUGAGAUGCUACACCACGGUAAACUCGCCCCGUACCAACUAUGUUCAGACCUGUAGCAAGCAUCACAUCUGACAUGAGCCCAUGUUGUACAUAAAACUGCAGAAUUUCUCAUUUUUUACAGUUAUAUACUGUACAUACUCACCCUGUCAUACUGUACAUAUAACUUAUUGUGUGUGUGUGUGUUCUUUUUUUAUAUAACCUCUGUGCUUCUCCUUACUGCGCCUGUACU